rnacentral:rRNA from 1 species
UCGGGAAUUUUGCUCAAUGGGCGCAAGCCUGAAGCAGCAACGCCGCGUGAGGGAUGAAGGCCUUCGGGUCGUAAACCUCUUUUUCCGGGGACGAUGAUGACGGUACCCGGUGAAUAAGCCACGGCUAACUACGUGCCAGCAGCCGCGGUAAUACGUAGGUGGCGAGCGUUGUCCGGAUUUACUGGGCGUAAAGAGCGCGCAGGCGGCCUGAUCAGUCGAAUGUGAAAGCCCCCGGCUCAACUGGGGAGGGUCAUUCGAUACUGUCAGGCUAGAAGGCAGGAGAGGGAAGUGGAAUUCCCGGUGUAGUGGUGAAAUGCGUAGAUAUCGGGAGGAACACCAGUGGCGAAGGCGACUUUCUGGCCUGUUCUUGACGCUGAGGCGCGAAAGCCAGGGGAGCGAACGG